rnacentral:misc_RNA from 1 species
GAAAUGCGAAAAGUAAUGCGAAUUGCAGAAUUCAGCGAGUCAUCGAGUUUUUGAACGCACAUUGCGCCCUCUGGCAUUCCGGGGGGCAUGCCUGUCCGAGCGUCAUUACGCACCCUCAAGCCCGGCUUGUGUGAUGGGCCCUGGCGUCUCGUUCGCGAGACGGGCCCGAAAGGCAGCGGCGGCGUCGACCCGAUGAGCCCGAGCGUAUGGGGACUUUUGUCACACGUUUGCGGUGCGGACCGGCGCCUGCUUGACUUUUCUGAUUAUCCAGGUUGACCUCGGAUCAGGUAGGGAUACCCGCUGAACUUAAGC